GACGAACGCUGGCGGCGUGCUUAACACAUGCAAGUCGAACGGAAAGGCCCUGCUUUUGUGGGGUGCUCGAGUGGCGAACGGGUGAGUAACACGUGAGUAACCUGCCCUUGACUUUGGGAUAACUUCAGGAAACUGGGGCUAAUACCGGAUAGGAGCUCCUGCUGCAUGGUGGGGGUUGGAAAGUUUCGGCGGUUGGGGAUGGACUCGCGGCUUAUCAGCUUGUUGGUGGGGUAGUGGCUUACCAAGGCUUUGACGGGUAGCCGGCCUGAGAGGGUGACCGGCAACAUGGGGACUGAGAUACGGCCCAGACUCUUACGGGAGGCAGCAGUGGGGAAUAUGGCACAAGGGGCGGAAGCCGGAUGCAGAAACGCCGCGUGCGGGAUGACGGCCUUCGGGUUGUAAACCGCUUUCGCCUGUGACGAAGCGUGAGUGACGGUAAUGGGUAAAGAAGCACCGGCUAACUACGU
rnacentral:rRNA from 1 species